AAAAAGACAAAUCAUGGGUUUCCGUGUCCAACUUUAACUGUCCGUCUUAUAUGAAAUUUUUUUAUAAUUUGUAUUUUCAUUGUUGUUAGAUGAUAAAACAUGAUUAAUAUUUUAUGCGUGACUUGUCUUUCUAAUUUUUUUUUUCAUAAUUUUUUUAAAUAAGACGAACGGUCAAACAUUGGACACGGAAAGUAGGGUUUGUCUUUUU
rfam:Oryza sativa Japonica Group DNA, chromosome 6, cultivar: Nipponbare, complete sequence.